rnacentral:rRNA from 1 species
UGCGUUCCAUUAGUUAGUGGGCGGGGUAACGGCCCACCAAGCCUACGAUGGAUAGGGGUUCUGAGAGGAAGGUCCCCCACAUUGGAACUGAGACACGGUCCAAACUCCUACGGGAGGCAGCAGUGAGGAAUAUUGGUCAAUGGACGAGAGUCUGAACCAGCCAAGUAGCGUGAAGGAUGAAGGCCCUAUGGGUUGUAAACUUCUUUUAUAAGGGAAUAAAGUGUUCCACGUGUGGAAUUUUGUAUGUACCAUAUGAAUAAGCAUCGGCUAACUCCGUGCCAGCAGCCGCGGUAAUACGGAGGAUCCGAGCGUUAUCCGGAUUUAUUGGGUUUAAAGGGAGCGUAGACGGAUAGUUAAGUCAGUUGUGAAAGUCUGCGGCUCAACCGUAAAAUUGCAGUUGAUACUGGCAGCCUUGAGUGCAGUAGAGGUAGGCGGAAUUCGUGG